CCUACGGGUGGCAGCAGUGAGGAAUAUUGGUCAAUGGACGCGAGUCUGAACCAGCCAAGUAGCGUGAAGGAUGACUGCCCUCUGGGUUGAAAAUUCUUUUUAUAAAGGAGUAAAAAGAGGCAUGUGUGCCUUUUUUCAUGUACUUUAUGAAUAAGGAUCGACUAACUCCGUUCCAGCAGCGGCGGUAAUACGGAGGAUCCGAGCGUUAUCCGGAUUUGUAGGUGUUAAAGGGAGCGUAGAUGGGUUGUUAAGUCAGUUGUGAAUGUUUGCGGCUCAACCGUAGAAUUGCAAUUGAUCAUGGCAGUCUUGAGUACCGUAGAGGUAGGCGGAAUUCGUGGUGUAGCGGUGAAAUGCUUAGAGAUCACGAAGAACACCGAUUGCGAAGGCAGCUUACUAAACUGCCACUGACAUUGAGGCGCGAAAGUGUGGGUAGCAAACAGGAUUAGAUACCCUUGUAGUC
rnacentral:rRNA from 1 species